rnacentral:lncRNA from 1 species
ACAUAAGACUAUUUUCUGCCAACCCGAGCCUCGGGUUUGCAUGUACAGGAUUUUGUACCGGUACACUUUCCCGUGUACCGGUACACUUUGGCAGAAUCUGAAAGGUUCGAACUGCAGGGGUGUUUUUGCGAUUGUGACCUUCUAUAUUACCACCCACGCCUCCCCUUUGGUUUCCUGAGCCUAGAACUCAGAGGAAACAAGGUGAGUGAGUCUUCUUUGCCUCUCCAUGGAUUU